CACGGGGGGAGCAAGCGUUGUUCGGAUUCAUUGGGCGUAAAGGGCUCGUAGGCCGCUCUGUAAGUCGGGAGUGAAAGACCACGGCUCAACCGUGGAAACGCUUUCGAAACUGUGGAGCUUGAGGCCGGGAGAGGAGAUUGGAAUUCCUGGUGUAGCGGUGAAAUGCGCAGAUAUCAGGAGGAACACCGGUGGCGAAGGCGGGACUCUGGGCCGAUACUGACGCUGAGGAGCGAAAGCGUGGGGAGCGAACAGG
rnacentral:rRNA from 1 species